rnacentral:rRNA from 1 species
AAAUUGAAGAGUUUGAUCAUGGCUCAGAUUGAACGCUGGCGGCAGGCCUAACACAUGCAAGUCGAACGGUAACAGGAAACAGCUUGCUGUUUCGCUGACGAGUGGCGGACGGGUGAGUAAUGUCUGGGAAACUGCCUGAUGGAGGGGGAUAACUACUGGAAACGGUAGCUAAUACCGCAUAACGUCGCAAGACCAAAGAGGGGGACCCUCGGGCCUCUUGCCAUCGGAUGUGCCCAGAUGGGAUUAGCUUGUUGGUGGGGUAACGGCUCACCAAGGCGACGAUCCCUAGCUGGUCUGAGAGGAUGACCAGCCACACUGGAACUGAGACACGGUCCAGACUCCUACGGGAGGCAGCAGUGGGGAAUAUUGCACAAUGGGCGCAAGCCUGAUGCAGCCAUGCCGCGUGUAUGAAGAAGGCCUUCGGGUUGUAAAGUACUUUCAGCGGGGAGGAAGGGAGUAAAGUUAAUACCUUUGCUCAUUGACGUUACCCGCAGAAGAAGCACCGGCUAACUCCGUGCCAGCAGCCGCGGUAAUACGGAGGGUGCAAGCGUUAAUCGGAAUUACUGGGCGUAAAGCGCACGCAGGCGGUUUGUUAAGUCAGAUGUGAAAUCCCCGGGCUC